AGUGUUGUGASUAGGGUAUUAUAACUUUCUAAAUGUACUUGCCUGUAUAGUUUUGGGAUCAUUUUCAAAUGCGCACCCAAUAGGCGUUGAAAGCAUUGUUUACAUUCUGUACAGGACGUCGAUAUGCCAGUGUCACAACUUGCUUGGAGGUUCGGGAUUUGAGCCUGUCGGGGGAACCGAAAUGGACUCGGAUUCAGAAGUGGAGGGGAUCCUACAGGGGAGCCGGAACCAGGAGAGACCUCCCUCUAGCUAUGGCUCCAUGAAGAGUGAUGAGGAGGAAAAGGACGAGAACAUCACAGAGGCUCAGCGCUCAUUUGGCAAAUCGGAACUACACACCUUCACUACAUAUACAGGGGUCCAGCUGAACCGCAACGUGUCUCCAGAGACGGUCUUCACUGAGACACACACCAGCAGUCUGUCAGCAAGCACCCCCAAGAGGGAACCUUCGUCACAGAGAGACGUGCGGAGGAGGAGGAAAAAAGGGAUGAGAGCAGCCCCAUCCAGGUAGACUCCCCUGAGCCCCCGCCCUCCGUCGAGCCUGAGACGAAUCACAGGAAGAGGGUGAUGACGAGCAACAGCCAGGCAAGCUGCACCCUGAAUUCGACCUGCCCUACAUAUUCAAGUCCAUGCAGAGUUGUCUGACAUCCCUGUUGGUCCUGAGUUACACCUGUUUAAGCGCUACUUAUGUGGCCACCCCUCCUUCACCAUGACUGACCUGGAGGAGAGCGAUACGCUGGACAUAGUGGAUAAGAUGCUGGAGCGCUUCGGUAAAGACGACCACAAAUUACAGUCACACCCUGUUAGUGCACUGCUUACUACAGUCACACCCUGUUAGUGCACUGCUUACUACAGUCACAUCCUGUUAGUGCACUGCUACUACAGUCACAUCCUGUAGUGCACUG